UCCCCCCCGGGGGCCCGACUUUGUUCACAGGCAAGGAAUCUAUGCAUCCUUGAGGACGGCCUGCCCUCCCUGAACCCCACAGGCCUGCCCUGGGGGGAAACGCUCACUGGUAGUAGCCGCAAAACCGAAAAGAAAUGUGUCCCGCCGAACAUCCUUCCCUGCUCCCUACUCAAAGCCUUAUGCACAGAGAGGAGAGUCAAGCCUUCCCCCUCCCAGCCUGGGAGGGAGGAGGGUCACCUGCUGUGGUCUUUAGUAUUUAUCUUGUUUGCAGUCUGCACUGAGGAGCUGGGAGCCGAGGCCCCGCCCCGGGUGGGAUUUGAAGGCUCAUCCCAUGAGGAGUUUCCAGAAAGCUCCAAAAGGUGUGGGCUGAGUACCCCAGGUGCCUGUCCCUGGGGGGCGGAGGAGGGUGGAUGGCAGUCAAGUAGAGUGGGGGGCCCUGGCUGGGGCCACAGGGACUUCACAGAGCUUUUGCCUCUGGCCCAACCCACCACCGUGCAGGAGCGGAGAUAAAGACUCAUUUUUCUUGGAAGAGUCUGAUGGCCAAUGUGGUACAUGCCACCAGCCCAGUUGUAUAAAUACACAGAGAAAAUGUUAGAGUUCUAACCCCUGGAACCAUGAACUAUAAACCAAAAAAGCUCAGGGGGGAAAAAUGUAAAUAGGUACCAGAGCUGUUUUUAGCCGUCAUUGUUUACCUUUCUGGGGGGGCAGGGCUGGCCUAUUGUAUAUUUAGGCAACGUUCAAAUGCACAUUAUUUAAUGCCUUAUUAUUAGCAGAAAUAUGUUAAACAGCCAUUAAUAGAUGUUGAUUCAUUCCAGCUAAAGCUAUUUUUCUUCUUUUCAUCCCCUUGGCUCCGGUUAAGCUGUGCUCUGAUGUGAAACCCUUCGGCCUGCUGCCGACUCCUGCAUAUGCAGGAAAGCCGGCCGGAGCUCCAGACUGUUUAAAACGAUGUUUGAUCCAAUCCAGUUGAAAAAGAUAUUUUAGUAAAUACCUGAACUCGCUCAUUUCUGCAAAGAUUGGCUUCGGCUGUGAAUUCCCCAGGAGGACCCUUGGAGAAGCCAGGAGACGCCCGAAGGCCACGUAAAUUCUGUCCCCACUGUCAUCCAUCCGCUGAAUACAGACACGGUCAUGGGUCGUUCAAACAGUGGCUUCUUGUGAUCUCAGGAGGAAGGACCUUGGCAGAGGCUGCUUCUUCGAGAGGUUUUGCAAAGCUUGGAAGAGGAUCCAGCUUUCAGCCCAGAACCUGGUGAGUUGUAAGGGUGGUUUGGAGGGGUGCUG